GGCCGGGAUAGCCCAGGGAAACCUGGAUUAAUACCGGAUGAGACGGGACCCGCGAUGGCGGGAUCCGGGAAAGGCGCUGCGGCGCCGCCGGGGGAUGAGUCUGCGUCCCAUUAGCUAGACGGCGGGGUAACGGCCCACCGUGGCGACGAUGGGUAGCCGGCCUGAGAGGGUGGACGGCCACAUUGGAACUGAGACACGGUCCAGACUCCUACGGGAGGCAGCAGCUAAGAAUCUUCCGCAAUGGGCGAAAGCCUGACGGAGCGACGCCCGCGUGAACGAAGAAGGCCGUGAGGUUGUAAAGUUCUUUUCGGGAGGGGGAACAACCGUGGCAGGGAAUGGCCGCGGGAUGACGUGAAUCCCGGAAUAAGCCCCGGCUAACUACGUGCCAGCCGCUGC
rnacentral:rRNA from 1 species